rnacentral:rRNA from 1 species
GAUAAACGCUGGCGGCGCACAUAAGACAUGCAAGUUGAACGGACUUAAUCGAAAUAUUUAUAUUUUGAAGCGGUUAGUGGCGGACUGGUGAGUAACGCGUAAGGAACCUGCCUAUUAGAGGGGAAUAACAGUGAGAAAUCAUUGCUAAUACCGCAUAUGCCAUAGAUAUCACAUGAUAACAGUGGGAAAGGAGCAAUCCGCUAAUAGAUGGCCUUGCGUCUGAUUAGAUAGUUGGUGGGGUAACGGCCUACCAAGUCGACGAUCAGUAGCCGGACUGAGAGGUUGAACGGCCACAUUGGGACUGAGAUACGGCCCAGACUCCUACGGGAGGCAGCAGUCGGGAAUAUUGCGCAAUGGAGGAAACUCUGACGCAGUGACGCCGCGUAUAGGAAGAAGGUUUUCGGAUUGUAACCUAUUGUCGUUAGGGAAGAGAAAGGACAGUACCUAAGGAGGAAGCUCCGGCUAACUACGUG